rnacentral:rRNA from 1 species
AUUGAACGCUGGCGGCAGGCCUAACACAUGCAAGUCGAGCGAGCGGCGGACGGGUGAGUAAUGUAUGGGGACUGCCCGAUAGAGGGGGAUAACUACUGGAAACGGUAGCUAAUACCGCAUACUAUCGGAUAACCCAUAUGGGAUUGGUUAGUAGGUGAGUUAAUGGGUCACAUAGGCGACGAUCCCUAGCUGGUCUGAGAGGAUGAUCGGCCAAACGGGGACUGAGAAACGGCCCAGAAUCCUACGGAGGCAGAAGGGGGGAAUAGUGCACAAUGGGGGAAAGCCUGCUGCAGCCAUGCCGCGUGGAUGAAGAAGGCCCUAGGGUUGUAAAGUACUUUCAGUCGGGAGGCGGUACCGACAGAAGAAGCACCGGCUAACUCCGUGCCAGCAGCCGCGGUAAUUC